GCCACAAAGGAUGUAAGCAGAAGCAGAUAGCACAGCCUGGAACAACGUGCUGAUUAAAUAAGUGAUUCCUUACACCAGCAAUCACCGACCGCCCUGGGGGUGCAGGUGAGUUUACCACUAACAAUGAAGACACGGCUGUAGCAGCAUGGCGAGGACAGUCAUCGUGUAACGCUGAUGCACAUGCAUGCAUGAUCAAGCUAUCUGGAUCGAACACGAAAAUUGUUCCCCAUACACCAUUCAUAGAUGUAGCAAAGGUGUGUAAGUGCUUCUACUUCUGCACUAUAUACGAGGGUAGCAAAAUGUGCGUGCUGAGGUAGACGCCAUCCAAGAGCUGCACUUGGUUCUGAAAAGAGGAGACACUGAAGCUUUCAGGUCAAUAUUCAGUCAUACACGGUACACCCAAUUAGCAAAGAAAGCACAUAAACAGUUCAGGUAGAUCGGGAAGACGGUUACACCUGUUACUGAGGACCGAAGGGUGAUCAGGCUACUUGUAACAGCAAAGAAAAUUACAGUCUUGUUGCUUCAAAUCUACACAGUGGCUCUUGUCAAAGCAACUUGUCGUCCGAAACAUUGGCGGGUGUUCACUUUUCUCAACGCAUUCCGUAGCUGAAGAGUAGCAAUUGCGGGCACUUGAGUCAGACAUUGUUGAUCCGGGGAGCGGAGUUGACGUUCUGUUCAAGAAAUUGAUCUAGAACAGAGUUUUUCUGCUGAAUACUCAUAGCAUAUAGCUAGUUAGGUACAUACUUAGAUCCAAUACCCUGUGAUUGGCAUCCGGUGUUUACAGGAUCUAUGUAUAAAAUGGAAAAAUUACUCAACUCUGAUGCUGUUCAGUUCAUUGGUUUACAUACAUAGUUCAGACACGCUAGCCCGCUAACUCGAAGGCAUGAGGUUGUUAUGUUUUUUUUUCUGUUUGAGAACUAUGAGGUCGUUAUGUAAUUCACAUGAAAUGUGCCUCAAACACAUGCUCCUUGUAAUAAUAUACUGGGGGUAUCGCUCCCUAUAAUUAAUAGAAUACCAGUUGCAGAAGCAACUGAAAUUUGCAUA